ACAAAAGAUGGAAUUUUCUUUCUAUGAUGGAGAAAGAGUUGAGUUCAGGUAGGGUUAUGGUUUGAUAAUGGGGAAAUGACUGACGAUGCAACUUUUAACUGAAACAUAACAGGGAGAUAUGGUACAACUGUGACUUCUGAUUAAUGGACUUUUAAUGGGAUUCAUAAGACCUUACAGCGUGCCAGAAGAGGAUGGGCUGUCUGCACAGUUCCCCUGUAUAGUGAGUGACUGGAGAUAUGUGCUGUUUGCCUGCUUACUGCACCAGUUGACAAAACCAGUUCUGGUGACUUGCUUUUCUUCUAGAUACAAUAUGUUAAAAGGACAGGUAUCUGCAAGGGCAAAUGUGUUACUGGUAGGAAAGUGAGUUUGUGACCUUUGGCCACAUAAAAGGAAGAGUUUGCAAUAUGCAUGGUGAAGCCACAAAGGAAAGCAAAUUUCUUAAUUGUAUGGUCAGGACUCAAACACCGUUCUGGCUACAAGGGCUGAACCUUGAUUUCUAUGAAAUCAAAGCAGAUGUAUGAACCUCUACAAAUCCUGCAUUCGCCUGUGGAGUUACAGUGAAAUCGGUAUCAUUCUACCACUUGCAUUACUGAUAAGAGACUCUAAGCACAUAGGCAGUGGUGUUAUAUACUCCUUUUGCAGUAUUGAGAUUUCCCUUAUCUUCUUUCUCACACCACAGCAGUGGGAUGAACCACACUUUGCUUUUUUUUUUUUUUCUUUUAAAUAACUUCCAGAGUGAGCCAGUUGCUGUGGUUAGAUGGAUGAAACAUUUCUGAAGUGUCAUGUAGGUAUUGGUCUGCUGGCAGACUACUUGUGAGUAAUGCAUAGCACCUUUUUCUUCAUUUAAAGAAAAGUAUUUCAAAUAAAACAGGCCUGUUGUGUGUAUUAAAGCAAAACAAAACAAACCUCAAAUGUGACUCUUAUUGGAAGAGUGCUUUCACAAUGCAAUAUAGAUGUGCUGGACUUUUCAAACCUUGGUACCUUGAAGAAUUAUUCUGUAAAAAUGGGAAUUUUGAACACCAGUAUUACUAACAAUGUAAUUCUAGAUAUGCAAACAUGGCUUGUCACUUAUUUCUGGAAACCACUAAAGCAGUACUUUUUGACAGCAUUGUUUUCUAGACAUUGUGACUAAAUGUCUGUUAAAAUUGCAUUUAAAUAUCUCUUUAGAAUGUCUGAUUGCACUGCAAUCAGUCUGACUGACUUUCUAAAAACUGAUGCUUUGUAGAAGCAUUUAGAUAUUUGACUUUUUGGAGAAACACCGAGAAAUAAUCUGUCUGAGCCUAAUGAUGAGGUUAUAUGUUGAUGUUUCUAUUUUCCCCACUCAGUUCCUGGAUUAUGAGCAGUAAAUGUCGUCUCUGAUUCUGUCCUGAUUUACUUGGAGAGACAGGAAGGAUAGAAAUAAGAAGUGUUGCUAUUGACUUUUAUCCGAAACUCUUGAGGAAAAGACUGAUGGGACUUUUGUCUUCUCUGAGAACUGGGAGUCUGGGACUUAGGCUGGUCUGUGCCUGCCCAGAUGAGCCCAGCUGUAUUCCAUUGCCUUUCAGAACUGUGCAGUUAAUGUUGGCAUUUGAACAUCAUUUUGACUGUUGAGCUUUCUGCACAAGGGAGCCAGUUUCUUAGAAAAUAAAUAGCUAUGCAGAAGGGCAAGGAAAAUGGAGUGCUUGAUCCUGCCGAUGGCCUAUGUGAAGAGAUACUGUGAAGGUUACUACUCUGAUCCCUAUAAAUAAUAAAUAAAAUGUUGAAUAAAAGGUU